AAUCUCAAAGUCUAAAAUGGGUUUCGGAAUAAAGAAAGAGAAUUGAAUUUUAAUCUGGACAAGUUAUGGAACUCAAAACACAAGUGUUACAUUGUGGUUCUUAGUCUGAUGACUUCUUUCCAGAAUACCAAGCCUUCGGUGAGAACUGGUUUUCCAAGUAUUAAAUAUGGACUGAGUACACCGUGCUUGAAGUGCUUACAUUAUGCAAGGAAUGAAGCUUAUUCCCUGGGUGUUUCCUCAUCCGAGGCCUUGUUAAAACCCAGUCUUGCUAUUCCUGGCUGUCGGUGUUCGCACCGGCUGACAUAGUUGGGU
rnacentral:lncRNA from 1 species